rnacentral:rRNA from 2 species
UCUUAAGGGCGUUCGGUGGAUGCCUUGGCGACAAGAGGCGAUGAAGGACGUGAUACGCUGCGAUAAGCCAUGGGGAGCUGCGAAUAAGCUUUGAUCCGUGGAUUUCCGAAUGGGGAAACCCACUCCGUAUGGAGUACCCUUUUAUGGGAGCAAACCCGGGGAACUGAAACAUCUAAGUACCCGGAGGAAAGGACAUCAACCGAGACUCCGCUAGUAGUGGCGAGCGAACGCGGACCAGGCCAGUGGCUAUAGAGUAAGAACCGGAACCGUCUGGAAAGUCGGGCCUUAGUGGGUGAUAGCCCCGUACGGGUAGAAAACUUUAUAGUCCUCGAGUAGGGCGGGACACGUGAAAUCCUGUCUGAACGUGGGGGGACCACCCUCCAAGCCUAAGUACUCCUUGUCGACCGAUAGUGAACAAGUACCGUGAGGGAAAGGUGAAAAGUACCCCGACGAGGGGAGUGAAACAGUUCCUGAAACCGGACGCCUACAAACAGUUGGAGCCCGCAAGGGUGACAGCGUACCUUUUGUAUAAUGGGUCAGCGACUUAAUUUAACGAGCAAGCUUAAGCC